UACGGAGGGGGCUAGCGUUGUUCGGAAUUACUGGGCGUAAAGCGCACGUAGGCGGCUUUGCAAGUUAGAGGUGAAAGCCCGGGGCUCAACUCCGGAAUUGCCUUUAAAACUGCAUCGCUAGAAUUGUGGAGAGGUAAGUGGAAUUCCGAGUGUAGAGGUGAAAUUCGUAGAUAUUCGGAAGAACACCAGUGGCGAAGGCGACUUACUGGACACAUAUUGACGCUGAGGUGCGAAAGCGUGGGGAGCAAACGGG
rnacentral:rRNA from 1 species